rnacentral:rRNA from 1 species
UACGGGGGGUGCAAGCGUUGUCCGGAUUUAUUGGGUUUAAAGGGUGCGUAGGCGGCCCGUUAAGUCAGCGGUGAAAUCCCGGGGCUCAACCCCGGAACUGCCGUUGAUACUGGCGGGCUUGAGUUCGGUCGAGGCGGGCGGAACUGGUGGUGUAGCGGUGAAAUGCUUAGAUACCAUCCAGAACCCCGAUUGCGAAGGCAGCUGCCUAGACUGUAACUGACGCUGAGGCACGAAAGCGUGGGGAGCGAACAGG